UCAUUCACAUCGGACACAAGGUGCUGAGAGCAGCGAUAUUAAGUGUCUUGUAAGCGCACUUAAUAUUAGGCAUCGCAAACAACAACAACAAUAGUGAACUGUACAAAUAACAAGCGCAAUAAGCAGGCGUUCUAGAUUUCAAAUUAAAUUUAACAAAUGCAAUUGUGUACAGCAGCCGAAAUCUACUCAAAACUAUAAAUGACAGAUUAAUAAAAUGCGGCAGCUGAGCCGGAAGAGGGGUGAGGUGAAGAGCGGUGUGGAGAUAUAAGGAAGAGAAUAUGGCGUGGCAGGACGGGUACGCCGAGCAAAAGUGUGGCACACAACAAAUGAUUGCCAACAGUUGCGGGCUAUUACAAAAAUAAAAGCACAACAGCAACAGCAACAAGAACAAACAAAUAAAUAAUUUUAAAAGAAGAAGAAAUUCAUAUUUUUCGCCUGUUGGCAGAUCAAUAAGGAAAUUUUGACUAACCGUGCUUGUUUGGGUGUGUACUUAUGGAAGAUUUAGAGAACAUGCGUUGCUUAAUUGCAUGUGGUGACAGAACCGUUAUAAGUAAGGGAAAAAGAGACAAAAUUCAUGAAAGAAAAAAGAAAAUACAUUCAUUCAAGUAUUGUAAAGGAAGCGGAUCUACUGUGCUACAUCCUUGUGUGGAAUAUACCACUAUUUAUUGCGGACAUACGAGAGUACCAUUAAGUUUGGUGUGUUUAUUGUAUAAGCCGGCUAAAGGAUUGGGUAGUGUAAUCAUUAACUAUUUUGGCAAAAUGAAAUUCCAGCACAUCAGCUACCCGAAUUGGUGUACCUUUUUUGUAAAAUCAAAUAAUUUAAAAUAAAUAAGUUAAGAGCUUAAAAUUGUUUUGUCAAAAACAAAGAAAGGACAAGAAUUUUGGAUGAAAUAUGGGUAUAAAAGUUAAAAGUUUGGUUGUGGUUGAAAAUAUUUUCGGAAGGUAUGUAAGAAUUGUCAAUUAAAUAAUAUAUUAAUUCGAACGGCU